CCAUCUCCUGUUCGCUCCCUCCAACUUCCUGCGUUUGCUGGCUACCUUCCUAGCUCUGGACCUUGGCUCGCUCUUCCAAAUUCCAGCAGUUUCUCUCCCAUUUGUUUGGUGUCACAGCGGACAGAUAAUUGGUGAGGCAGUCCAUCUCCCCAACACCCCGCCCUCAGAGCUGUCCGCCCACGUGGCCCAGGUACAGCAAGGAGACCUAUGCCCACGUGACACGGGUGAGCCUUUGAGUCCUUUUGGCACAAAGAGGUAUGAAGUCUGCCCCAGACUCGAUGCUUUGCUGCCAGAUAGAAAGACGUUAAGGGCAAAGUAGCAUCACUUCCAGUCUUGACACUCUCCGAAAGCCUGAUGGCCCGACUGCUUUCUACAUCUGCUUUCCUGCAUUUCCUCCGACGCAUGGAGAAAAACGUGUCUAAUGCACGAGCCUACUGGAACCCAGGCAAGAAAUGCAAACGAAUGCGGUGGUCCAUGACAGGGGUGCUGGGGACCCAGGCAAACUGGAGGGCCCGGGCCCUGUCCAAAGAAACGUGGUGCCCAUUCAGCUCCUGCCCGCCGCUCCCCCCAUAGAAACCUGAGCUCCGAACUGCUGGAGCCACCCAUUUCUCUAGAGAUUCUGGAAAUCUGAACUUUUCUGUAAAAUCUCCAUUUUUUUUUUUUUGGCCAAAAUAUUAAAACAAAAUGAAACAAUCUUCUAUAAGAGUGCAUACAAACAUGUAGACAUGUC